UACGUAGGCAGCAAGCGUUGUUCGGAAUUACUGGGCGUAAAGAGUGUGUAGGCGGUGCUCUAAGUUCGGUGUGAAAUCUCCCGGCUUACUGGGAGGUGCGCCGGAAACUGGAGUGCUUGAGCGCGGGAGAGGAAAGCGGAAUUCCUGGAUGUAGCGGUGAAAUGCGUAGAUAUCAGGAGGAACACCUGUGGGUGUAGACGGCUUUCGUGG
rnacentral:rRNA from 1 species